rnacentral:rRNA from 1 species
GUAUAGACCCGAAACCCGGUGAUCUAGCCAUGGGCAGGUUGAAGGUUGGGUAACACUAACUGGAGGACCGAACCGACUAAUGUUGAAAAAUUAGCGGAUGACCUGUGGCUGGGGGUGAAAGGCCAAUCAAACCGGGAGAUAGCUGGUUCUCCCCGAAAGCUAUUUAGGUAGCGCCUCGUGAAUUCAUCUCCGGGGGUAGAGCACUGUUUCGGCCAGGGGGCCAUCCCGGCUUACCAAUCCGAUGCAAACUGCGAAUACCGGAGAAUGUUAUCACGGGAGACACACGGCGGGUGCUAACGUCCGUCGUGAAGAGGGAAACAACCCAGACCGCCAGCUAAGGUCCCAAAGUCAUGGUUAAGUGGGAAACGAUGUGGGAAGGCCCAGACAGCCAGGAUGUUGGCUUAGAAGCAGCCAUCAUUUAAAGAAAGCGUAAUAGCUCACUGGUCGAGUCGGCCUGCGCGGAAGAUGUAACGGGGCUAAACCAU